CUCACCUGGCCCCAGCGCGGAGCCGGAUCACACCUGCCUGCUGGGUGAGCCGAGGGCAUUCGCGGAAGGGAAGAGACAAGACCUGGGAAGGGACGCCUGUGGCUUAGAAAGACCCUCAGGCAGGGCCGGGCGUGGGGCGCGCUGAUAAAAAUUCCUGGAGCUGUAUUAUUCACAUCGCAGAUUUGUCCCUUUGCCUCAAUCUAAAAGGAAUGGGAAAGAACAGCCGCUGGGCUCUCAUUUGCUUCCAGCUUACACAGAUUCAACUAUCAAUUAUCCCAGAGGAGAGGCGUGCAGUGCAGGGCGUUGGGCCACGAAACUGAAAGCUGCUGGCGAGGCGCGUGGGGGAGGUCGAUUUCUGCGUCCUGCUGCCUCCACGCACAGUGAGAACCCACCCCGCCACUGCGUUCCUGUCCUCACAGAGAUUCUGGAUUGACUGUGCUAGCAGGAGAAGCUGGGAGUGACUUCUGAGCUGGACUGACCACUGGACGCCAAGUGAUUAUCCCUAAUGUAUUACAUGUCAUUUGCAACCCAAGCUGUCCGUCAUGUACUGGGCCAUCUGACACACUCAUAAAAUCCCAUUACCAACUGGAAAUGGUUUAUGUGGGACUAGCUCCUAACCAGGCACAUCAUUGCUUCAACUGAUUCAUGAGCAGAAGAGUCUUUGCUGGCAACACAUGAACUGUGAUGGAUUCAAUCACUUAGGCUUUCCAUUAUCAAUGCAGACCUGGCCCCUGGGUGCACAGGGUUAUCAGUGACCACCCCUGAAUGCCGCAACUGACCAGACUCCAGGGACACCAUGGACUACUUAGUUGCAGACUGAUGACUUUGGACCUCUUCCAUUAUGGAAAGGGCAGUGAUUUCUUUUCACUGAAACAGGCUCAUGUCUGACUUUGGAACUGACCUCUCUGCCUGUAGAUCAUCAUGGCAUGCUCUACAAAAUUGCUUCUGACAACGGAAUUCACUUUACAGUGAAAGAGGGAAAGCAGUGGGUGAUACCCUUGUCAAUGGAUCCUGUCACCCAGAAGCAGUCAUCUGUAUUCAGCUGUGACAUGAUUUAUUGAAGAUUUCAUUUCAGGACUGAGAGACGAUCAUACCUAAGGAGAUUGAAAUAUCGUCCUUUAAGAUGCUUGUUUGUUCUGAACUAGGGAACAUCACGUGGUGCCGUUUCUCCCACAGCCAGACUAAACAGGUCUGGAGGAAGGGGAAGUAGGCACGGUGCAACUUCCAUCUUACUUAAUGACUCUCACUCUCUUCAACUUUUUUUCCACCAAUUAGCGAUUUUAUUCCCAGGAAAGGAAGGUUGCACCAUUGAGGCAGCUGACCGUUGGGGUGGCUCCCUUUGGAAAGGGGAUAUAAAGUGUUUGUAUGAGUGAUGGUUCCAUUAAA